rnacentral:rRNA from 1 species
GACGAACGCUGGCGGCGUGCUUAACACAUGCAAGUCGAACGGAAAGGCCCUGCUUUUGUGGGGUGCUCGAGUGGCGAACGGGUGAGUAACACGUGAGUAACCUGCCCUUGACUUUGGGAUAACUUCAGGAAACUGGGGCUAAUACCGGAUAGGAGCCCCUGCUGCAUGGUGGGGGUUGGAAAGUUUCGGCGGUUGGGGAUGGACUCGCGGCUUAUCAGCUUGUUGGUGGGGUAGUGGCUUACCAAGGCUUUGACGGGUAGCCGGCCUGAGAGGGUGACCGGCCACAUUGGGACUGAGAGACGGCCCAGACUCCUACGGGAGGCAGCAGUGGGGAAUAUUGCACAAUGGGCGGGAGCCUGAUGCGGCAACGCCGCGUGCGGGAUGACGGCCUUCGGGUUGUAAACCGCUUUCGCCUGUGACGAAGCGUGAGUGACGGUAAUGGGUAAAGAAGCACCGGCUAACUACGUG